UAACUACGUGCCAGCAGCCGCGGUAAUACGUAGGGCGCAAGCGUUGUCCGGAAUUAUUGGGCGUAAAGAGCUCGUAGGUGCUGGUCGCGUCUGCCGUGAAAGCCCGCAGCUUAACUGCGGGUCUGCGGUGGAUACGGGCCGGCUAGAGGUAGGCAGGGGCAAGUGGAAUUCCUGGUGUAGCGGUGAAAUGCGCAGAUAUCAGGAGGAACACCGGUGGCGAAGGCGGCUUGCUGGGCCUUAUCUGACGCUGAGGAGCGAAAGCGUGGGGAGCGAACAGGAUUAGAUACCCUGGUAGUCCACGCUGUAAACGUUGGGCGCUAGGUGUGGGGGUCUUCCACGACUUCCGUGCCGGAGCUAACGCAUUAAGCGCCCCGCCUGGGGAGUACGGCCGCAAGGCUAAAACUCAAAGGAAUUGACGGGGGCCCGCACAAGCGGCGGAGCAUGUUGCUUAAUUCGACGCAACGCGAAGAACCUUACCAAGGUUUGACAUCACCCGGAAAGCUGCAGAGAUGUGGCCCUCUUCGGACUGGGUGACAGGUGGUGCAUGGCUGUCGUCAGCUCGUGUCGUGAGAUGUUGGGUUAAGUCCCGCAACGAGCGCAACCCUUGCUCCAUGUUGCCAGCAGCGGAUUCGUCCGGCUGGGGACUCAUGGGGGACUGCCGGGGUCAACUCGGAGGAAGGUGGGGAUGACGUCAAGUCAUCAUGCCCCUUAUGUCUUGGGCUGCAAACAUGCUACAAUGGCCGGUACAGAGGGUUGCGAUACCGUGAGGUGGAGCGAAUCCCUAAAAGCCGGUCUCAGUUCGGAUUGGGGUCUGCAACUCGACCCCAUGAAGUCGGAGUCGCUAGUAAUCGCAGAUCAGCAAUGCUGCGGUGAAUACGUUCCCGGGCCUUGUACACACCGCCCGUCACGUCACGAAAGUCGGCAACACCCGAAGCCCGUGGCCCAACCCGCAAGGGGGGGAGCGGUCGAAGGUGGGGCUGGA
rnacentral:rRNA from 1 species